UACGUAGGUGGCAAGCGUUGUCCGGAAUUAUUGGGCGUAAAGAGCUCGUAGGCGGUUCGUCGCGUCGGCUGUGAAAACCCGGAGCUCAACUCCGGGCCUGCAGUCGAUACGGGCGGACUUGAGUGUUGCAGGGGAGACUGGAAUUCCUGGUGUAGCGGUGAAAUGCGCAGAUAUCGGGAGGAACACCGGUGGCGAAGGCGGGUCUCUGGGCAACUACUGACGCUGAGGAGCGAAAGCGUGGGGAGCGAACAGG
rnacentral:rRNA from 1 species